AAGGACCGGACGAGACGCUACGCCUGAAAACAGGCGGCGGGCGAGGGACGAGGCUUACCACGGCACCACGCGAGUGGAAAGGGUCGUCUCCGCUAGCGGCGGCCCACACCAGCUCACCGAGGGGCGGCAGCGCGCGGCCCGGCUGCCGGACCGUACCAUCCCGGGCGGUGGAGCCGCCGCGGAGGGGCGCGCGCGAGCCGAAGGCGCACCCGGGAGGCCCAGGUAGCCCGGGGGCCGGUGCUGGGGCGCCGGGCAGGCCCGGCUCCCGCCUCGACCCACCCGGAGCCAGCCCCCUCUGCGGACACGACAUCCCCAUGGGGACGGUGGCGCGAAACGCCCCACUCUGCCGCACCCAAACUCUGCAGACCCCCAGCUUCCCUGGGCGGCCGCGACCUCCCGCCUCCCCGUCUGCCGCUGAGGGCCCGCGGCGUACACAAUAGGCUUCCCAGAAGGGUUAAGAGGCAGAGGUAGAAGAAAUACGGACUUUAAUGAAGAGUUUUCCCUUUGGUAUAAGUGAGACCCGUGGAAACAUCCAAACAGCAAAAGGAGGCCAGGAUGAAAACGGUCAACUCUCCCUUAUCCACAAGGCCAAAAGAGGGGGGGCCGGCUUGCUGUGGUGUGGCCACCCCGGGCCUAGGCUGGGCCGGGCCUGUAGAAGGUACUCAGGAACUGCAGGUUUUGCGUUUCCCCUCCAUGAAACUGACAGGCAUUCGGGCUGACUUCUGCCUCUCAGUCUCGCGGUAAGAGACCCAAGUUUUUCUAGUCCUAGAUGGAAAUAAAUUUCAUCUGCCUCA
rnacentral:lncRNA from 1 species